rnacentral:rRNA from 1 species
UACAGAGAGUGCAAACGUUGUUCGGAAUUACUGGGCUUGAAGCGCACGUAGGCGGCGUUGUAAGUGUCGGGUGAAAUCCCACGGCUCACCCGUGGAACUGCCCGGCAUACUGCGAUGCUAGAGUGUGGUAGGGGGAGAGCGGAACUCCUGGUGGAGCGGUGAAAUGCGUAGAUAUCAGGAGGAACACCGGUGGCGAAGGCGGCUCUCUGGUCCACAACUGACGCUGAGGUGCGAAAGCUAGGGGGAGCAAACAGG